rnacentral:rRNA from 1 species
CCUACGGGUGGCAGCAGUGAGGAAUAUUGGUCAAUGGCCGUAAGGCUGAACCAGCCAAGUCGCGUGAAGGAAGAAGGAUCUAUGGUUUGUAAACUUCUUUUAUAGGGGAAUAAAGGUAUCCACGUGUGGAUAUUUGCAUGUACCCUAUGAAUAAGCAUCGGCUAACUCCGUGCCAGCAGCCGCGGUAAUACGGAGGAUGCGAGCGUUACCCGGUUUUAUUGGGGUUAAAGGGUGGGUAGGUUGUUUUUUAAGUCAGCGUGGAAAGUUUGUGGCUAAACCGUAAAAUUGCUGUUGAAACUGGAAGACUUGAGUGUGUAUGGGGUAGGCGGAAUGCGUGGUGUAGCGGUGAAAUGGAUAGAUAUUACGCAGAACUCCGAGUGCGAAGGCAGCUUAUUAAGCCAUAACGGACACGGAAGCACGAAAGCGUGGGGGUCAAACAGGAUUAGAUACCCUGUAGUC